UCGGUUUUGCAUGUUCGGUUCGGUCCACUUGUGUACCGUUUCGGUUAUAUUUUAUGCAUUUUUUCUCAUUAAAUCUAUUACUAGUGCGAUCUAAGCACCCCAAGCGGAACUAAAGUCUUGGGUGAGUUUCCGCACGGACGCCUCUGAGUGUCGGACACUGGAUGAGGGAGAGGCGCGCCAGUAGCUCGCAGACGUGACAAAUGAGGUUAUGGCAAAUGCAAGCGAGAAGCCUGAGCUGGAACACCCUCCCAGCUCAUAACGUUCUCCUGUCUGGGAACACUUUGGCUUCCCCGUUAGUUACCAAUGGACAACGGCAAGUGGAUAAAUCCAAAGUUGUUUGUCGACAUUGUUCCAUCACGGAGAUCGGGUAUGCUGCAGGAAACGCGUCUAAUAUGUUAACACACUUAAAACGGCACCAUCCAUCUGUGAAUGUUUCCUCUACAAGAAAGAAAACCAGCUUGGUGCAAACAGUAACAACGAUAACUUCAGCUUUUAAACAACAUCUAGCGAACAACUCUGACCGGGCCAAAGCAAUAACACAUGGUAUUGGAGUCUUCAUAGCUACAGGAUUACGUCCAUAUUCAGUUGUUGAGAACGCUGGCUUUAAGUAUAUGAUUAAAGUUCUUGAGCCUCGCUACGAAAUACCAUCACGUCCUCACUUUAGUCAGAAAGUUGUACCAGCACUUUAUGAAAAAACUAGAAGUGAUGUCGUCCGCGAGCUAUCGCGGGUGCCCUCUCUUUCACUUACGACAGAUAGUUGGACUUCACGCGCAACAGAGAGCUAUUUAACAGUAACUGUCCACUACAUUUCGCCACAAUGGGAGAUGAGGAAUCACGUUCUGCAAACAAGACCUGUUUAUGAACAGCACACUAGCACAAAUCUUGCAGAGCACCUGAAGGAGGCUGUGAAUGAAUGGAAGCUGGAGAGACCUGGGACCACAAUUCCUGUAACCACAGACAAUGCUAAAAACAUUGUCAGUGCUGUAAAAGAAGCAGGACUGGGCCCUCAGAUUGGUUGUUUUGCACACACCAUUAAUCUAGCCUCUCAAAAAGUAACAAGCAUCAACCAGAUAUCUAGAUUAUUGGGAAAAGUAAGAAAGAUUGACAUUUUUUCACAAAAGCACCACAGCAGCGCACAUCCUGGAAAGCAAACAAGAAAUGCUGAAUAUUCCAAAGCAUUCUCUCAUUCAAGAUGUCCCCACACGAUGGAAUUCAAGUUAUGACAUGCUUCAGAGAUACCUUGAACAGCAGGCAGCUAUAUAUUCAGCACUAACUGAGAAACCUCUCAAGAACAAAGAUAUAUACACACACUCAAUGACGAAGAAGUGGCAAUGGCAGAGGAAGUGAUUGAAGCACUUAAACCUCUAAAAACAAUCACAACCCUGAUGAGCACUGAAUCCAGAGCGUCUGUGUCCAUGAUAAUCCCCUUGAAAAACUACUGUUCUCCACUCUAUGGCACCAAAACAAGAAGACAGUUCUGCUGUGAGAGAGGUCAAGCUAGCAGUCACAAGAAACCUGCAAGAAAGUUACUCUGUGUGCUAUGACUUUUUGCACAAAUGCACAACCCUGGACCCCCGAUUCAAAGCCUUGCCUCACAUAGAAGAUGAUGAGAGACAGAAGAUAUUCAGCGACAUCAUAACAGAAAUGAUGACAACCACAGAAGAAGAGACUGAGGAUGCCACAGAGAUAGGAGCUGGAUCCUCAUCAUCUCCAGAGGCAUCAUCCACCAGAUCACCUCCAGCUAAGAAGUCUGUAAUGACUGAACUUUUUGAUGAACUUUUCCAGAGACAGGGGGGAAGUAGUAAACCAACCCUUUUGGAGCAGGUCCAAGAAGAGGUCAGUAAGUACAGAGCUUCAGGGUGCCUUUCCCUUGAAGCUGAUCCUCUUCUUUGGUGGAAAGGCAAUGAGGCUACAUACCCACACAUAGCAAAACUCGCAAAGCGUUACCUCUGUAUUCCAGCUACCUCUUUUGCUAGUGAACGGGUCUUCUCCACUGCUGGAGAUAUUGUCACUGCAACCAGAUCUGUGCUUUCUGCAGAAAAUGUGGAUAAAUUAAUCUUUCUAGCCAAAACCUUUAAGCUUGAAUAGUUUUAUUUGUCAUAUUCAGGCUGUUGCGGCUACAUGUUCAAAGUUUACAUUUGUUACUUGUUUAUUUAAAUUGUUACAAUAGUUUUAAAAACUCAGAGUCUAAUUUAUUUGAAAUAUCACCC